rnacentral:rRNA from 1 species
AACGAACGCUGGCGGCAUGCCUAACACAUGCAAGUCGAACGAGACCUUCGGGUCUAGUGGCGCACGGGUGCGUAACGCGUGGGAACCUGCCCUUAGGUUCGGAAUAACUCCCCGAAAGGGGUGCUAAUACCGGAUAAUGUCUUCGGACCAAAGAUUUAUCGCCUUUGGAUGGGCCCGCGUUGGAUUAGCUAGUUGGGAGGGUAAAAGCCUACCAAGGCGACGAUCCAUAGCUGGUCUGAGAGGAUGAUCAGCCACACUGGGACUGAGACACGGCCCAGACUCCUACGGGAGGCAGCAGUGGGGAAUAUUGGAAAAUGGGCGAAAGCCUGAUCCAGCAAUGCCGCGUGAGUGAUGAAGGCCUUAGGGUUGUAAAGCUCUUUUACCCGGGAUGAUAAUGACAGUACCGGGAGAAUAAGCUCCGGCUAACUCCGUG